rnacentral:lncRNA from 1 species
AAUAUCGCCAUAUUAAAUAAUCUAAGUCGGUAAUCUGUAUAUAUAGCAGGUUACUUCGCAUAAAAUCCAAUCGUACACUUAACCAAUAAAGGAUUUGAUUUCAAUACCUAAUGGUGUAUUGAAGCAUAUCUUUUGUUUCCUUACAAUAAUAUCACAUUGCAGAAAUCAUAAUGCGUCGGUUAUGAUGUGAAUUUUAUGGUCCUACUGAAAAAUAAAAAAAUAUAUUCUUAUUUACUCUCGUCACAACUUCGUUUUGCGUAAUAACAUUAGAUGAUCCCCAAUACCAAAUGAGUCCUAACUUUUGGAUUUUAUAUAGUGGAGAAUAGAAGAUUAAAUUUACUUUUAGAUUUUUUUUGGUCCUUCCAAAAUAAAAAAAAUGGUGACUUUAGUUGUUGUAAUACCAAAGAUGACCUCGGCCGUAUAGUGUCAGAUUGUUGACGCUAACUAUUAAUUCUAAAAUCUCGAACGGUUAAAAAUAUACAACUAAUUUAUUUAAAGCAUAGAGAUAUAGCGCCUCUUCGAACAUAGCUCGACUCGACUCGACCUCUCACUAUUUCGAACAUAACUCGGGUCAAUCUGACUUUCCGCCAUAGAACAACAGAAUGCUGACUCUUUUAAGCCAACAUAUGGGACUCCUACCCAUCGUCUCUAGAGCAAGUGGCAAAGGGCUUGUUGGUUGGUAUCCGAGGUCCCAAGUUCGAAUCCUAAUUGAUUCACAUUUCUAGUUAAGUUUAUUUCUAAAUGAAAUAAAUAAAGCGGGUAGCGUGCUACGUAUCUCUCUCUCCAAAAAAAAAAAAAAAAAA